UUUUUUAAAUGACUUCAUAUGCCAAUAUAUAAGUGCAACAAACUAUAAAGUGGUCUAUUUGUUACAUGCAAAGGAGAAGAAACAUGGCAAUACUUCUUAAGUUUGUUUAUAUUAUGAUCAUAUAUCUUUUUGUAGUUCUUGUUGUAGUUGAAGGCUACUCGGUUUACGGAUGUAAUGACGACACAGAUUGUCCACCUAGUUGUACCACACGAGGUUGUCCGGAUAGUUGUGCCUAUCCUCAUGUUCUGAGAUGCAUUGGUAAAAAUUGUGUUUGUACUUAACAGCUGAGAAUAAAAAUGGCAUUGCAGAAUUAUAAAUGAACUGCAAUAAAUAAAGAUGACAUGGUUUUGGAAGGGGAGGUGUGUCUAGCUUGUGGUAGUUUUUGAGUUGUAUCUCUAUGCUUUAGAAAAUUUGUAUUUGUUUUUAGUGCCCUAGGGGACACCUUGUUCUCUAGUUUGUGCUUGUGACCAAUAAAUUCUUUUCUUUUUGAAAAAUAUAUAUCAAAUAAAUACAAUAUAAUCAUUAUGUAUUUAUACUACACAAAUUUGAAUCAA